rnacentral:rRNA from 1 species
UGGGGAGCAAAUAGGAUUAGAUACCCUAGUAGUCCACGCCGUAAACGAUGAGUACUAAGUGUUGGAUGUCAAAGUUCAGUGCUGCAGUUAACGCAAUAAGUACUCCGCCUGAGUAGUACGUUCGCAAGAAUGAAACUCAAAGGAAUUGACGGGGGCCCGCACAAGCGGUGGAGCAUGUGGUUUAAUUCGAAGCAACGCGAAGAACCUUACCAAGUCUUGACAUCCCAUUGAAAAUCAUUUAACCGUGAUCCCUCUUCGGAGCAAUGGAGACAGGUGGUGCAUGGUUGUCGUCAGCUCGUGUCGUGAGAUGUUGGGUUAAGUCCCGCAACGAGCGCAACCCUUAUCGUUAGUUACCAUCAUUAAGUUGGGGACUCUAGCGAGACUGCCAGUGACAAGCUGGAGGAAGGCGGGGAUGACGUCAAAUCAUCAUGCCCCUUAUGACCUGGGCUACACACGUGCUACAAUGGAUGGUGCAGAGGGAAGCGAAGCCGCGAGGUGAAGCAAAACCCAUAAAACCAUUCUCAGUUCGGAUUGUAGUCUGCAACUCGACUACAUGAAGUUGGAAUCGCUAGUAAUCGCGAAUCAGCAUGUCGCGGUGAAUACGUUCUCGGGCCUUGUACACACCGCCCGUCACACCACGAGAGUUGAUAACACCCGAAGCCGGUGGCCUAACCGCAAGGAAGGAGCUGUCUAAGGUGGGAUUGAUGAUUGGGGUGAAGUCGUAACAAGGUAUCCCUACGGGAACGUGGGGAUG